rnacentral:rRNA from 1 species
UGCAACUCGACUCCAUGAAGCUGGAUUCGCUAGUAAUCGCGCAUCAGCCAUGGCGCGGUGAAUACGUUCCCGGGCCCUUGUACACACCGCCCGUCAAGCCAUGGGAGUCGGGAGUGCCUGAAGUUCGUGACCGUCACAGGAGCGACCUAAGGCAAGACCGAUGACUGGGGCUAAGUCGUAACAAGGUAAC